GGGGGGUAAUUUAAUAAAAAAAUUAUAAUAAAAGAAUUUUUAAAAAUUAUAGGAAUAUAUUUAUACAUUAAUGGGGGUUAAAGUAUAUUUAUAGAAAUAAUUUAAAAAUUUAUAGUGAAUUAUAUUGUAUUGUGAAAGAAUAUAGAAUAAAUUGAAAAUUAAAUUAAUUAAAAGUAAUUUUAAUUUAAUGUAUCUUGUGUAUCAGAGUUUAUUAAAAAAUAUUAUUAGAUAGUAAAUUCUCGAAUUUAAAAGAGAUAAUUAAUUAUAAAAGUUAUUGUAGCAUAAAUAUUUUAAAUAAUUAAUUGGAAAUGAAAUGUUAAUCGUUUUUAAAUAUAUCUAGUUUUUUUAGAAAAAAAUUUAAUUUUAAAUUUAUAGUAAUUAUUUAUUUAUUUAUGAAUAAAUAAUUAUUAUAAAUUUUAUAUUUUAAGGGAUAAGCUUUAAAAUAAAUAUUAAUAUAAUUAAAUUAUUUAAUUUUUUGAAAAUUAUAUAAUUUAUAUUGUUAAAAAAUUAUAAUUUAUUAUAAAUAACUUCAUAAAUAAUAAAAUUUAAAAUUAAAAAUUUAUUCAGUUUAUAAAAGAAAAUAAUUUUUAAUUUUAAAAAAUUAGUUAUAAUGAUAAAAUUAGUAUAUAUUAUAUAUUUAAAAUAAAUUAUAUUUUAAUUUAAUGUAAAUAUUUAAUAGGAAUUCGGCAAAUAUUUAAUAUUCACUUGUUUAUCAAAAACAUGUCUUUUUGAAUAAAUAAUUUAAAGUCUAAUCUGCCCACUGAUAAUAUAUUAAAGGGCUGCAGUAUAUUGACUGUACAAAGGUAGCAUAAUCAUUAGUCAUUUAAUUGAUGACUUGUAUGAAAGAUUGGAUGAAAUAUAAACUGUCUUUUAAAUAAAAAAAAAAUAGAAUUUAAUUUUUUAAUUAAAAAGUUAAAAUAUUUUAAAAAGACGAGAAGACCCUAUAGAGUUUUAUAAAUAUUUUUUAUUAAUUUUAUUUAUAAAUUUAUAUUUUUUUUAAUAAAGAAAUUUAUUUUAUUGGGGUGAUAGAAAAAUAAAAUAAACUUUUUUUAAAAAAAUUUACAUAUAUAAGUGAUUAAAUGAUCCAAUUUUAUUGAUUAUAAGAAAAAAUUACCUUAGGGAUAACAGCGUAAUUUUUUUUUUUAGUUCAUAUAAGAAAAAAAGUUUGCGACCUCGAUGUUGGAUUAAGAUAAAAUUUAAAUGCAGAAGUUUAAAAUUUUUGAUCUGUUCGAUCAUUAAAAUCUUACAUGAUCUGAGUUCAGACCGGUGUGAGCCAGGUUGGUUUCUAUCUUUUAAAAAAUAAAAUAUUUUAGUACGAAAGGAUUAAAUAUUUAAAUUAAAUUUAAUGAAUGAAUUUUAUUAAUUAACUUUAUAAAAAAAUGUUUAAAAUUAAGUUUUAGUUAUAUAUAUAUAUAUAUAACUAAA
rnacentral:rRNA from 1 species